ACGGAGGAUGCAAGCGUUAUCCGGAUUUAUUGGGUUUAAAGGGUGCGUAGGCGGAUCAAUAAGUCAGUGGUGAAAACCUUCAGCUUAACUGGAGACUUGCCAUUGAUACUGUUGGUCUUGAGUAUGGUUAAGGUAGGCGGAAUGUGUAAUGUAGCGGUGAAAUGCGUAGAUAUUAGGAGGAACACCAGUGGCGAAGGCGACUUUCUGGACUGUAACUGACGCUGAGGCACGAAAGCGUGGGGAGCAAACAG
rnacentral:rRNA from 1 species